UGAUUGGCGGGAUCCCUCGCGG
rnacentral:snRNA from 1 species